UACGUAGGGCGCAAGCGUUGUCCGGAAUUAUUGGGCGUAAAGAGCUCGUAGGCGGCUUGUCACGUCGGGUGUGAAAGCCCGGGGCUUAACCCCGGUCUGCAUUCGAUACGGGCUGGCUGGAGUGUGGUAGGGGAGAUCGGAAUUCCUGGUGUAGCGGUGAAAUGCGCAGAUAUCAGGAGGAACACCGGUGGCGAAGGCGGAUCUCUGGGCCAUUACUGACGCUGAGGAGCGAAAGCGUGGGGAGCGAACAGG
rnacentral:rRNA from 1 species